ACAAAUUUGACCACAUCACGCUUCAAAUUCUUGAGAGUAAAACACUUGCGUUUCACAUGGCCAGGAACCCCGCAAUAUUCACAGACUACCACAGAUUCCUCUUCUAACUCUGGCUGAGAACCUUGCCCAUAUCUACUCCCGCCAAAAUGCGGUCUUGGAUGGCCACAUCACGAAAGGCACCGAAACCACAAAAAUCCGCCUGCAGCUUGACGGCCUGUACAAAUUCUUCUGCCGUUUCGUCAGGCUGCUGAUUACGCAGACUCAACCGGAAUCUUUGAACAAGGUCAGGUUCUACCCUAUCUAGCUUCAAUUUAAGUUUGGCUUCAAUAUCGUUGAAGGUUGCAUUGGCCAAAUCCUUCUCAUUAUAAAUCGUUUUAAGUUGAGUAAAUAGAUAAGGACCGCAUAAAUUCAUAAAGUGAGCUUUUUGUUUUUUAGAAUCUGUCACGUCAUUACCGUCGAAUGUAUAUUUCAGACGGCAAAUCCAGUCCGAAAACGAAGAACCCUUGCGGAACGGCUCGAUGGAUGAAACCAUGCCUCCUUGGCUCAUUUCAACAAACUUCAAUCAAUAGUUUUUAAAAAAA